rnacentral:rRNA from 1 species
GACGAACGCUGGCGGCGCGCUUAACACAUGCAAGUCGAGCGAGAACCAGCCCUUCGGGGCUGGGGAGAGCGGCGAACGGGUGAGUAACACGUGGGUAAUCAACCCUCGGUACUGGGAUAGCCCGGGGAAACCCGGAUUAAUACCGGAUGGCCCUUCGAAUCCUCGGAUUUGAAGGAAAAGGUAGCUUCGGCCUCCGACCGAGGACGAGCCCGCGGCGGAUUAGCUUGUUGGUGGGGUAACGGCCUACCAAGGCGACGAUCGGUAGCUGGUCUGAGAGGACGAUCAGCCACACUGGGACUGAGACACGGCCCAGACUUCUACGGAAGGCAGCAGUGGGGAAUCUUGCGCUAAUGCGGGAAACCGUGACGCAGCGACGCCGCGUGGGGGAAGAAGGCCUUCGGGUUGUAAACCUCUUUCAGGAGGGACGAAGCUACUCGGGUUAAUAGCCCAGAGGGUGACGGUACCUCCAGAAGAAGCCCCGGCUAACUACAUGCCAGCCGCCGCGGUAA